rnacentral:lncRNA from 1 species
CGGGGUGUCUUCGAGAGCAAGGGAGUCUUUCUCUAUUCCUGUGCUUUGCUGGGAGGGUCUAGGGACCCCGAAAAGUCAAUGACCACCAAAGCCACCCCAACCUGGUGGCUUUUAGAUUCUUGUCUCUCAAAUACAAAGAAUAAAAUCCAUGGACGGCGGAAGAUUUUUAGGAAUUAGGGGAUGACUAAGGAAAUCCACAGAGGAGGAGUCAGAAGAUGACAGGUCCAUCUGAUUAUGGACUGACCAUGAAUAAGAGGUGAUGAAGUUAAAACAGCAGUUAAAAUCAGUAAAAAAAAGGCUUCAUAAGACACAGCAAAUGCAACCAUAAGCCACCUAGCUCCAGAGGCAGGCUAGCCUUCAGAUGGCAAACCAGCUCAAAGACGUUAGCCAGAAGGUAGCAGCUCAAGACAGAAGUUCGGGAGCAGUCGGCAGAGUAAGUGUUAAAUCUGCGAAGCUUGGAAGCACAUUCCUGUACUCCCGGCACUCGGCAGGUCGAGGCAGGUAGAUCUACAACCUGUUUAAUUUCACUCUUUCUUACACUCGCUCCUCCCGAACACCCUUCAUCAGUCGGUAGCUUUCUUUCUCAUUUUUCUCUCUUUCCUCACAGUUCAGUACGUCCCUCUUCAUAAUCCCCCCAGCCCAUCCACAAACUCAGAGCAUCUGAAACAGGAAUUCUUCUUUGAACUCUGGGACAAGUUAAAC